rnacentral:rRNA from 1 species
CCCUUAGAUGUCCUGGGCCGCACGCGCGUUACACUGAUGCAUUCAACGAGCUUAUAACCUUGGCCGAGAGGCCUGGGCAAUCUUGUUAACGUGCAUCGUGAUAGGGAUAGAUUAUUGAAAUUAUUAAUCUUGAACGAGGAAUUCCUAGUAAACGCAGAUCAUCAAUCUGCAUUGAUUACGUCCCUGCCCUUUGUACACACCGCCCGUCGCACCUACCGAUUGGAUGGUCCGGUGAAUAAUUCGGACUGCAGCAGUGUUCAGUUCCUGAACGUUGCAGCGGAAAGUUUAGUGAACCUUAUCACUUAGAGGAAGGAGAAGUCGUAACA